GAAAGAUGUAUUAACUUGUCCAAGGCCAAGAGAGCUAGAAGUGAUAAAUGGGAGUUUGGAGCCUGACUUAAGAGCUUCUUCGUGACUAUUUCGACUGUUCACAGUGUCAUGUACUACGCUUGUAUCCUCCCUGAUCCUCAAGUCAUGUGAGAGCCCAGACAAUGUUUGAUGCUGAUCUCAGAUGGGGAAAUAUGUUUGGAAGGAAUGUCUUUGCUAAGCAGUCCUUUGGGGGCCCAGAACCUCCACACUGCUUGUUCCAUGCUGUCUCAUUGCUUGGAUCUGUUGUGCUGGCCAGACGCUAAGUAACUAGAGGCAGAAGUCGCUGCUUUGAAAGCCUGGAUAUUUGCUGAUCAUACAUACCCUAAGUAUCCCGAUGUCCUGCCACCUGUCACCUAUGGAUACAGAGGAGGGGACAAAUGGGAUUAUGAUCUCUACUAUUCAAUAGAAUAUACUAGUCUUUCAUUAGAUUCUCAAAUUUGAGAAAUCUAGGUCUUCUAGCAGUCAUCCCUGGGGCCUUCUCUUCAGAACCCACAGAGCCUCAAUGUGUCUAAUAAUCCAGCUCUAUCUAACCUCUCUGAGUCAACAUUUUCCAAAACAAAGACCUCCUUUGGGGCAAAUUCAAUGUAGUUUCCUGGGCUAUAAACCUGUGGUUGGUCUUCAGGUGACAAUACCAUGGAUUUGUUCAGCUUUCUUUACGAGCCUGGUAUAUGUCAAGUUUUUUGCCACACACACGAUUUCAUUCAUCCUCAUAGGAUCCAACUCUGAUAGGUAAGAUUACUAUUCCAGUCAGAUUUAUAAGAAACGUAGAAUUUAGAGGCUGGGGAGAUGGCUCGCUGGUACUUGCUACAUAAGCAUGAGGACCCUAGUUUGAAUUCCCAGCCUCCAAGUAGAAAGCUGGGCACAGCAGUACAGAUUUAUAACUCAGCAUCCUGGGGCUCACACUCACCCACCCAGACACAUGCAUACAAUACACACACACACACACACACACACACACACACACACACACACACUUUUUUUUUUUCAAAAAGAAGAGCUUGAAAUGAUGCUUAAAGAAUUUGUCCUAAGUAGACUGGGAUGAUCCAGAUCUAUUGGCUCCAGAGCACUACACUGCUCUGCCUUCCCCCACAAAACUAAAACUGGAAUCAACCAGUAUGUAACUUUCUCAUUCCUUUUGGGAGGAUGUGUGGCAAAAAAAAAAAAAAAAAAAGAAGACACAAGUAAAUGAUUUUAAUUAAAAUCAUUUUAUUCCAACUAACUCACAAAUAAAAAUAAUCACAUACCUGACUUAAGGAAGCCCUCAAACACUUGCCCAGACCCAAACCCUGCACAACUCUGUGAACUUCAGCACAGGUAAAACGGCCAUUCGGAAGCCAUGAAGCUUCAUUUAGGGUUUCAUACUUUCACUAGCAACUACUUUUUAUUUACUUAUUAUCUAUUUGUCUUUAUUAUGAUUCUUGCUACUUUAAUAUUCAGAAAGCUGAAUUCAUUUAUCCACCAUGCAAAACAAAGAAAAAAAAACUAGGAUGGAGUUGAAACUAGAAAAAGGAAUAAACAGCUUUCUAUCCUCCAUGAACUUUUGCCUACAUUUCGUUCUUCCUCAUCACCUAAUAUUACCCUCCUUUAUACUUUGCCCACCCUUGCACCUAUUUAUACAUAAACACAUGUACGUUAUAGGCUAGGAUCUGCAUGUGAGGGAGAGCAUUCAAAUGUUCUUCCUCAAAGAAACAUUUUCUGCCCCCAAUGACUAUUGAAACUAUUAUCCCCCUCGAAUGUCUUCAAUUAGUUGUUGCCAUAUUGUCAUUUUUACCAAACAUUUUUUAAAUUUCUAUUAUCUAGUACCAUAUUUCAUAUUUUUUCAUAUCUGAAACUGAGAAUAAAUGUUACAUCCAAUGGUAAUAUUAUAACUCUAAUUGAAACUGUUUUCUUGUUUUCAAGUAGUCUAUAGAUUAAUGAUUCAUCUUUUGUGUGUAUGGUACAUAUAUGUGAGUGUGGCUCUACAUGCCCAUGUAUGCACAUACAGAGACCAUACCAGGAUGUCAAGUGUCUUUCUCUUAUCAAUUUCCACAUUGUCACCUUGAGACAGGGGUCUCACUGAACCAGAAGCUAGCCAUUGAGGCAAGGCUAGCUGGACAGUCAGCUCUCAAGAUCUGCCUGUCUCAAUGCACUAAUGCUGGGUGACAGACAUGCAUGACCAUGCUCAGCAUGCUAUAUGUGUGCUGGGGAUCUGAACUCAGGUCCUCAUGCUUGCAUAGCAAGUUCCCUUAACCAGCCCCCAUGGUGUACCUUUUAAAGGAUAACAUCUCAGAUUCCACAAAUGUGGUGUAUGCAUUGCCCAGUUGAGAAAUCAGAAAUUAGAAGCUCCUUGAGGGCGAGAGAAGAUGCUUACCUUGUAUCACUCAUGGCCUCAGCAAAGUCAUAUUCCACACCCCCAUAUAUGGAUCUGUUUUAUGGCAUCUUUUUACUUGACUUUAAAAGCUUAUUGUUUCUUAUCUAAUUCAUACCAAGUAGGCACCUUAUAAAGAAAACCAGGUAUUUUUUUAUAUAAGUAUUGUAAAGUAGAAUUUGGUCUAAAAUGCUAGGUGGGAAAUAUUGUCAGCAGUGGGGCAGGACCAGUCAUUAAUGGACCACAUUCAUUCCUGUCAGUUGAAUAAGUUUAUAAUGGUCCCCAAAUCACCUAAUCAUGGUCCCAAUUAAUUUAUUCCUUUCUGGUAGUUAUUACAUGAAAGUGGCAUUGUUUGGAGAAAAUCAUUCACAAGAGUUUUGUUUAAAACCUUUCCUGAGCAGUUCUGCUGGUCAAGCAGUCCGAGGAUGAUCUGAAUAGCAUCUUUUCAGAGCUGUGCAGAGACCAAGAUAGGUAGAGGCAGAAACAGUCCAGGCCUGACACAUCUCCCGCAGCCAAAGAACUCACAGGAGAGCACACUGGGUCUUCUAGGUCUCAGGCUUCACAUGGAAUGCCAAGAACCCACUGCCCACCCCAGCGUGAAAGCCCUGUGCCCGUCAGGCUCCUCCCAGCCAUCUGCCCAGGGGAUCUCGGGGAUCUUGACACACCUGGGUUGAGGGAGCC